AUGUGUAGGAUAGGUGGGAGGCUUUGAAGUGUGGACGCCAGUCUGCAUGGAGCCGACCUUGAAAUACCACCCUUUAAUGUUUGAUGUUCUAACGUGGACCCGUUACCCGGGUUGCGGACAGUGUCUGGUGGGUAGUUUGACUGGGGCGGUCUCCUCCUAAAGAGUAACGGAGGAGCACGAAGGUUGGCUAAUCCUGGUCGGACAUCAGGAGGUUAGUGCAAUGGCAUAAGCCAGCUUGACUGCGAGCGUGACGGCGCGAGCAGGUGCGAAAGCAGGUCAUAGUGAUCCGGUGGUUCUGAAUGGAAGGGCCAUCGCUCAACGGAUAAAAGGUACUCCGGGGAUAACAGGCUGAUACCGCCCAAGAGUUCAUAUCGACGGCGGUGUUUGGCACCUCGAUGUCGGCUCAUCACAUCCUGGGGCUGAAGUAGGUCCCAAGGGUAUGGCUGUUCGCCAUUUAAAGUGGUACGCGAGCUGGGUUUAGAACGUCGUGAGACAGUUCGGUCCCUAUCUGCCGUGGGCGCUGGAGAACUGAGGGGGGCUGCUCCUAGUACGAGAGGACCGGAGUGGACGCAUCACUGGUGUUCGGGUUGUCAUGCCAAUGGCACUGCCCGGUAGCUAAAUGCGGAAGAGA
rnacentral:rRNA from 1 species